UCUUGAAAUAUCAAAAUAGAAGUAAGAAUCUGAAAGGCCCUGUGAGUACAAGCAGCGACAACAAAGGCAGCUUUUCUCCUAUGGCUGCCUUAACCAGCUUCAGCAGUCUUUGUAGUGAAGCAGAUACUUCUCUGAAAAGGUAACUUGAACUUUGAAAUUCUAGAUAGGGUUUGGGCCAGACAGAAAAUGUAGUUUGGGAAAUCCACAGCAGAGCAUGGCUACUGUACUAAAGUGAUGUUACAGUCCCCAGAACUAACUCCAGAAUUACCAAGCCACCAUUUUCCAGGACUGACUGUAAGCAACCUGCAUCUCUUUUAACUACAACCUGACUCCAAAGCAGUUUGUGCCGACAAAGCAAACAACAAAAGCAUAUACUUGUGUUAUUUGCUAUUGAACUGUAACUUCUCUUCCUAACACUCAGGUUUCAGGCAAGCUUCCCCUACCUCCCUGCUUCCCACACUAAGUUUUUUUGGACAUAAUGGAGAGUGCAGCAGGUGUUCUCUGGAUUUGGCUGUGCUGGUUAAUAUCACUGCUAGCUGUCUCAGCCAUAUUUGGAUUAAUUGCUGUGGUCACUUAAACUCAGGUGGUCUAUCAAGGUUCUGCACACUGAAGUUUAUCUGCAACUGGAAGUACUCAGUGGUCAGUCAGCACAGUUCAGAUCAUGCACUCCCAGAUUCUUUUAAGACUAGUCUCAAUUUGAUGCUGUCUUAUGGGCUCAAUGCUUAUUAUUGUUCCACUUUGUUUUAAAGGAGAUUUUUUUAUUGCUGCUUUUAAGAAUUUAUCCCAUGAGAAGGAGGGUGUGACAGAAAUGUAGCAUUCUGUAAAUACUGACAAAAGAGAACAAUUUAUAACAGUUAUUUUCUGCUUUCUAAUCUCGUUGUAUUUAGCUCUUACUGUUGCUACAGGCUGUCGCUUGGAAAGCAACUGAUUGAGAAGAGGGUGGGGCUGAUCUCUUUGUGGCUGAGGUGAUUGACAGCAUUUUACUUUUCAGAGUCAUCGUGGGUGGGGGCAAAGCACUUCAUUGUGGGAAGAGAAGUAGAGCAACACAGAUACCAACGCUGGACAACAGCUGGUAAGAGCACCUUGCAGAAGCUUCUGCAGAGGAAGCCAAUUUUGCUGAGGUUGAGUCCUUGCGUGGAGCUUAACAAACCUGAAGAGGUUUCGUAUGGUACCUGUUCUGGGGCACCACCUGCUGGUGCAUCCUCAUCUGUCUGCUAAAUAUGGUGACAGAAGCUUACCAUGCUCCUGAUCUUUUAUAAUCCUUUUCCACUGGUGACAGUGCUCAUAAGAAAAAUGCUGUUUAGGAAAUGACACUAACUACACAGUGAGUAAAAUACUGCCAACUUCACCAAGUUUUUUUCUCACUAUAUGAAGUUGAUUUUAUUUUUCCUGUUUAUUUAAUGUUGUUGUCCUAGCUCUUUGAGAUCACAGGAUUGAAGGGGUUGGAAGAGACCUCCAAAGAACAUUGAUUCCAACACCUUUGCUUUCUAAUUAGAUGCUCUCUAAUUAUUCAGUAUUGCCUGUUGAAUAGGCAAUAAAAGAGCAUGUCUAUGAGAAGUGAAAUGUGGCACAUUAAUGUAAGUUGUUUAAUCGUACAUCUCUAGGACUGAUAGGAUUGAAGCACAUUUAUGUUGCACAUAUGUGAGCUAUGUGGUGUUAUGUAGGUCAUAUGUUUGAAUGAAUUUUUAUACGUCAGCAACAUUGAUACAGAACAAUAGAAAGAACCAGGAUUUUAAUCAUAGAUUAGAUUAAAAUUACGAAAUACAUAUUUUUGGAGCUGCUUACUUGUCUGAAGUUCAAAGUAGUUUAAGAUAUAUUUCAAAACACAAAUCAUCAUCUUUAACUCAAAAACUGGGCAUGAACUAUCCAACAUCAUGUGGCUGCUGAUACCUGACUUGAUGCUGAGCAGUUUCACUGAAGUGAGUUAGUUGUGUUGGUGCUUCAUCUUGGUGGAAAAUAAGGACAUAUGUGGAGGCUGGGAAAACACCUUAGGUGCUUUUGAUUGUGAAAUGGGUUAUUGAUUGAUUGAUAUUCAUAUGGAAACUUUUGUAGAGGGAGAAGUUUUAAUGAGAUUAUUAUCCAUUUUGGUUCUCCUAUUGACUUUUCAGUCUACAGUUUCCUUUAUUCCACAAUGGGAUUUACUGUUCGCACAGUAUAACUCUGCUGUUCUUCAUCUGACAUUCGUCAUUAUGCCGCCCACUGGAUUUUGCUUAAAGGGUAAAUAAGGUGCAUGCAUCAGACUGGGAAAUUUGCCAGAGCAUUGUCUCAACCCUGAGAGAAAACCUAUGAGAAUCAGGUAGAACAAGCUGAAAAAU